UCCCUGGUAGCUUAGUCAGUAAAGAAUCUGCCUGCAAUGCAGGAGAUCCGGGUUCAAUUCCUGGGUUGGGAA
rnacentral:tRNA from 1 species